rnacentral:tmRNA from 1 species
GGGGUAGUACUGGUUUCGACGGGGGUUUAGAAACUAUUAUAGCCAUCCGAGGUGGGUGACCUCGUAAAACCAUCCAUUAAAUAUAAACGCUGAUAAUAAAUUAGCACUCGCUGCCUAAGUGCAGCUGUCAGCCCUGUGUCAUCCGCUGCAUAGGUUCCUGGCAUCGAACAGGCGGAGCACUUCCUUGCCGAAGCUUGUAGGCUCGGGAAGAAUUACAAGCUACCGAAAGUUUAAGCCUGUAAGUGGGCGUGAGCCGUAGGGAAUGAUAAAACACUUACUGUGAUGGGAGAAGUGGUAGUGGAAGAGCCUUCGGACGCGAGUUCGAUUCUCGCCUACUCCA